rnacentral:misc_RNA from 1 species
CAAUUACAACGCAUCGACAGGAUUAAAAGAAUUCGGUAGCGAGACCCGUAGAGGAGCGGAGGAAAGCGAAGCGCGCGGCCGUGACGGCGAUUACCUCGGAGGUGCUGGAGCCGAACUGGAGGAGGCCGGGCUGCCCGUCCGCGGACUUGUUCUUGAGCUCCUCGAUCUUGCGGCGCUCCGCCUCGCGCUGCUUCUCCAGCCGCCGGAUCUUCACCGCGUCCUGCGCCGUCCCCACGUACCCAUCGCCGAAACCCGACAUCCUCCUAGGUCAGAGCGGGGUUGCCAGUUGCCAACUGCGGUGAAACUUGCAGCGGCCGCCGGCCGGUCG